rnacentral:rRNA from 1 species
GGGGUUCGCGUCCCAUUAGGUAGUUGGUGAGGUAACGGCCCACCAAGCCGACGAUGGGUAGCCGAGCUGAGAGGCUGAUCGGCCACACUGGAACUGAGACACGGUCCAGACUCCUACGGGAGGCAGCAGUGGGGAAUAUUGGGCAAUGGGCGCAAGCCUGACGCAGCAACGCCGCGUGCAGGAAGAAGGUCUUCGGAUUGUAAACUGUUGUCGCAGGGGAAGAAGAAAGUGACGGUACCCUGUGAGAAAGUCACGGCUAACUACGUGCCAGCAGCCACGGUAAUACGUAGGUGACAAGCGUUGUCCGUAUUUACUGGGUGUAAAGGGCGCGUAGGCGGGAUAGCAAGUCAGCCGUGAAAUGCCGAGGCUUAACCUCGGAGCUGCGGUUGAAACUGUUAUUCUUGAGUAUCGGAGAGGAAAGCGGAAUUCAUAGUGUAGCGGUGAAAUGAGUAGAUAUUAGGAGGAACACCAGUGGCGAAGGCGGCUUUCUGGACGACAACUGACGCUGAGGCGCGAAAGUGUGGGGAGCAAACAGGAUUAGAUACCCUGGUAGUUCACGCCGUAAACGAUGGAUACUAGGUGUAGGAGGUAUCGACCCCUUCUGUGCCGCAGUUAACACAAUAAGUAUCCCACCUGGGGAGUACGACCGCAAGGUUGCAACUCAAAUGAAUUGACGGA